UACAGAGGAUGCAAGCGUUAUCCGGAAUGAUUGGGCGUAAAGCGUCUGUAGGUGGCUUUUUAAGUCCGCCGUCAAAUCCCAGGGCUCAACUCUGGACAGGCGGUGGAAACUGCCAAGCUGGAGUACGGUAGGGGCAGAGGGAAUUUCCGGUGGAGCGGUGAAAUGCGUAGAGAUCGGAAAGAACACCAACGGCGAAGGCAGUCUGCUGGGCCGACACUGACACUGAGAGACGAAAGCGAGGGGAGCGAAUGGG
rnacentral:rRNA from 1 species